rnacentral:lncRNA from 1 species
UAGAAUUCCCAAGAGAAAUCCCCUGAAAAACCUAAGCCAAAAAACAAGAACGUUUCGGAUGGUAAGUAAUUUUAUAUUUGUCUAGAAAGACUUCUGAUUAAUCUUACAGUAUUGGAGGCUGUUUCUCAAGCUUUAUUUAACUCCAUUGUUUAGUUAUAGUCCAGAAUAUCAUAUCAUUGUAUGUGUUAUUUAUAUCAUGCCCCAGUCUAUUUCCAGUUAUAAAUAUGAAAAUACACAUGCAUGUAUACAGAACAUUCCCUCCAAGUAAAGAGGAAAUUUACCAGUAUCAAACAAUUUUAAGAGAUUACCCCCACCCAAAUUGGCUAGGGGGUUUUGAUACAUGGCUCAAAGAGUAAGUUUUUCAUGCACUAAAUGCAAGGUGGCUUCUUCCUAUUCCCUCUUCAGCAAAUUAAAGGUGCUCAGAGCCUUCUUUUAAAAUGGAAACAUCUUUGUGUUUAUCAACAUUUGAAUUUCAUCAGAGAACUCAUAGGUUCACUUGGCAUAAUAUGCCAACAUCCUAGGUGUCUAUCUUACAGAUCACAUAUCUUCUGAAGGUGGAAUUCCUUGUAGUGGCAGAAACCUCUCAGGAUGUGACUUAAUGAUGCCAUUCCCUCACAGUAUCCAAGGACAUUAAUUGAAUCCUCAAAAGUCAUGGUUCUUUUAGUUAAUGACUUUCAGAAAUUCCUUUACAUUUGGAUUUUGUCCCUCCCUUGUAUGUCCAGCAAUAGUAAUAUUGUAAAGAUAUGGGAAGACACUGUGCAACUUUCCAUCUUUCAUAGCUCGUUUGAAGGCAGCUACCCAUCCAUAGCUCAUUUGAAAUCAGCUACCCUUAUGACUCCCUACAGAACUGAUACAGACAUCCAUUGGCCUCAAAGCCUGCCUGCCUACAACUGACAUUUUGACCACAUUCUAGACCACAUCCAAAAGAAUACAAAGAUUCACUCACCAACAUGUUACAUUUCUCUGAAUUAGCUAGUUGCAUACCCACUCCAACUAAUAUAUCCAUCACCUCCCUUUUUUUCCCAGAAGUGUAAUCCUCUAUAAUUCCCUUCCCACCCACAUUUAUUUCACCAAUAUGCUGAUUAACUUAAAAGCAAUGCACACUACUAUUCCUUUUUGACUAACUUUUCUUUUUUCCUUUUUAUAUUAAUAUAUAUAUAUAUUAUUAUUAAUAAUGGUUCAAGCAACUAUUUUCAUAGUUGGUGUAUAUUCCUUGUCUAGUAAAUUAUAAGCUCAUGACACUAUGGCUAGUCCAGCAAUUUAUUCUCAUGACAAUGUGUUUCACAAAUAGUUAGAAUAAAUAGUGUCAUCACCUUGAUCACCUUGACCGACCAGUCCAUCAGGUGUCCAUUUGACACCGCUGGUCACAACACGCUGUCCACUCCUCUCUGGAUCGCGCCUUUCUCAUCCACAUGAUCCCAAUCAUCGUCCUGAUGUGCAUUCAUUUUGUUGUGCUGAAAAAUUUGAAAAAUAAAAUAUAUCUGCUCUCUGCGUGGUUUCAGUUUACUUUAAAUGAAUUUUAUUCUUAUACAUUUGCAGGUCACCGUCCAUUGAUGGGUCACGGUGGUGGAUCAACUUAUCGCCCUCCUAGACGAUCCAAUACCAGAGGAGGAUGAGGUUAAAUUUUCUGUGGGAUUAUGCAGUUCAGAGCAGUUCAGUUUAAAUGUAUUCCAUUUAUCAGUCCUAUUUUUACAACGGAUCAAAAGUUUCCUUGCGUAGUUUACUAAUUUUUGUUUGUAUAUAUUUACUUAUAAGUACUAGCAGAUAUAUAAAUAAAUGUGUGCACAUAUAUAAGUGCAUUUGUGAAAGUCUUGGAUAUAUUUGGAUUAUGCUAAAAAUCCUUUGACUUGUAAUUACUGUUAAGUUACUAUUAUUAUUUUUUCUCUCCUAAUUUGGAACAUCGGAAUCUCUAGGACAUUUCCUUACCCACACUUGAUAUUAUCUUAUAAUCCUAACCAUUCCAAUAAGUUAAAUGAAACCUUGUCUACAUAUAGCGUGACAAGCUCCAAAGGAUGUUAAAUGGAAAAUAAUAAUUUGCUGCUUCUGUAUCUGAGUUGUAUUCCUACAGAAAUCAAAUAACUGAUCUAAACCAACAAACAGCCUUCUAGCCAUCUAUUUCUAUGAUUAAUUGAAUACUGAUCUUGUAUCUAGGCUCUGUUUCUUCUUCUUCUUCUAUGUUACUAUUCUUAUUGUUAGCUCUCUACAAAUAUUUACAAUAAUUUCAUAUAGUUUGAUAUUAUAAAAGUUUACCUCCUCUGUAACACCUAUUGAACUAUGAUAGAACCAAUAGAAUAUCUUAAUAUAAUUUGUUGUUUAGUCUAUUUGUGUACAGAUACUGUGGUGGUUUAUAUUGAAUCAUUGUCAGAAAUAUUAAAAUUUUAUCUCCAUCUUAGAGAUAUUUUUCUAUAUACUGAUAUUGCUUAGAUUUAAAUUAAUGAAAAACAAAUUUCUAGAAUGUUUUAAGAUAUUGUAAAUUUAGAUUCUUACUUAUAUUAUAUUUAUAAUUACCUCUAUCUUAAUUUCAUGAUCUGUACUUUCAAUCAAAUAAAUAGAUGGAUAUAGACUUAUGAUGGCAAUCUAAAAAACAGAAUAAUCACUGAUUAGAUCGCCUGAUUUUUGUUUUGUUGGUGCAUCAGAUUUCCCUAUUCAUUUGAAUUUAUUUUUAUUAUAUUAAUUAUAACUAUUUCAAAAAUAUAUUUUGAUGCAUAUCAAUAUAUUUUUCACUGGUAUUUAACUACAAUAAAUUUACCAUUAGAUUUCCUCUGCCUCAAAUACAUUUUUAGAAUUCAACUUUAAAAUUGAAUUCUGAUCAUUUUGAGAAAAGAUUCUAAUAAAGUAUCUUGCCAACUUUGUCCAUUCAAUUUAUUGUGUAACUUGCUGACUCUGGAAUUUUAUAAUUUUCCUGUUUUCAAAAGUGAAAUAUAUUGUGAAAAAAAAAAGGAAGUUUCACAAAAGAGAACCUAAAUAUGUCAUGUACAUUAGGAGAUGUAAUUUUAGUGUUUCAUUUUUGUGGGACUUCAGAAACAUGAUAAAUCUGUAAAGCUUCUUGGAGCUCAAACAUGGAGACCCAGUCUAGUUAAGACUAAACCUACACCAAUUCCAUAUAUAAUAUCAUUAACAGAUAACAAACUGAUGAGAAAAUGAAAUUUCAAAUUCUGGCAUUGAACUAAGCAGUAAUUGUACAGGUUUGGCUUUUUUUGCAGCAAAAGUGUUGAAUAAACAAUUUUAUUAUUAAACUGAAUGGUAUAUUGAUUCAUUAUUUGCAACUGAACAGUGGUUACACUAAUAUUAAAUGCUAAUAGAUGUAUACAAAGUGACAAGUAGUAGUUUUUAUAUCCAAAAGAAUAACUCUACUUCUUCAUAAUCCAAUUCAUUGAACAACCAUUUGGAUUACUGAUUCAAAACAGUUUGAAUUAGCUGUCAAGCUUCAGAACACUUUAUGCAUUUGUAUUUGUAUAUAUACAUACACAAACACAUGCACACACAUCAUUUUUUGUGUGUGUCGAUAUAUAUAUAUAUGCAUACACGUGUUCAUAAGUAUGUAUAAUUAAGCAUAAGUGUGUACAUGUAUCUGUUUAUGCAUAUAUGUAUAUGUGAAAAUGGAUAUUUUCUUCCUUAACAAUCGGUUUGUGAAUAUGCAUGUAUACAGUUGUAUUUGUGAAUGAUUUUUACAAUUAAUACUUAGUAAUUAAUGUUUGUUGAGAGUGGUAAUUACCAUAAAAGCCCAUGUAAUUUACACUUUUUUUUUACAAAAAUAAAAAUAAACUUUAGGGGUGUGUAAAUUACAUGAGUAGAUUGUUUUCAUAAUUUUUUAGAAAUGUCAGAAUAGGUUUUUACAGAAAAAAUAAGGGCUUAAAUAUAGUGAAGUUGACUUUUAUUUUUGAUGGACAGUAUAAUGCUUAAUUUUUCUGUAUAAAUUUACUAAAACCAUUUAUGUUUAUUGGUAAUUAAACUUAAUUUGCAACACC